rnacentral:rRNA from 1 species
UACGAAGGGGGCUAGCGUUGUUCAGAUUUACUGGGCGUAAAGCGCACGUAGGCGGAUCGUUAAGUCGGGGGUGAAAUCCUGGAGCUCAACUCCAGAACUGCCUUCGAUACUGGCGAUCUUGAGUCCGGAAGAGGUGAGUGGAACUCCUAGUGUAGAGGUGGAAUUCGUAGAUAUUAGGAAGAACACCAGUGGCGAAGGCGACUGACUGGACAUGUAUUGACGCUGAGGUGCGAAAGCGUGGGGAGCAAACAGG